UUACGACCAUAUCACAUUGAAACAUCGGUUCUCGUAUAAGUACCGAAGAUAAGCAACGCCGAGCCUGGCCAGUACCUGGAUGGGUGACCACUUAGGAAUAUCAGGUACUGUAAG